rnacentral:rRNA from 1 species
AGAGUUUGAUCAUGGCUCAGAGUGAACGCUGGCGGCGUGCCUAACACAUGCAAGUCGAACGAGAACGGAUUACAGCUUGCUGUAAUUGUCAGCUAAGUGGCGCACGGGUGAGUAAUAUAUAGUUAAUCUGCCCCAAAGAAGAGAAUAAUUGUUGGAAACGACUUGUAAUGCUCUAUAUGCCUUUAUCACAUAAGUGAGCAAGGGAAAUAUUUAUAGCUUUGGGAUGAGACUGUACGGUAUCAGCUAGUUGGUGAGGUAAUGGCUCACCAAGGCUAUGACAUCUAACUGGUUUGAGAGGAUGAUCAGUCACACUGGAACUGAGACACGGUCCAGACUCCUACGGGAGGCAGCAGUGGGGAAUAUUGCACAAUGGAGGAAACUCUGAUGCAGCAACGCCGCGUGGAGGAUGACACAUUUCGGUGCGUAAACUCCUUUUAUUAGGGAAGAUAAUGACGGUACCUAAUGAAUAAGCACCGGCUAACUCCGUGCCAGCAGCCGCGGUAAUACGGGGGGUGCAAGCGUUACUCGGAAUCACUGGGCGUAAAGAGCAUGUAGGCUGGAGAUUAAGUUGGAGGUGAAAUCCUAUGGCUCAA